CGGGUGGCUGCAGUGGGGAAUCUUGGACAAUGGGCGCAAGCCUGAUCCAGCCAUGCCGCGUGAGUGAAGAAGGCCUUCGGGUUGUAAAGCUCUUUUACCAGGGACGAUAAUGACGGUACCUGGAGAAUAAGCCCCGGCAAACUUCGUGCCAGCAGCCGCGGUAAUACGAAGGGGGCUAGCGUUGUUCGGAAUUACUGGGCGUAAAGCGCACGUAGGCGGAUUGUUAAGUCAGAGGUGAAAUCCCGGAGCUCAACUUCGGAACUGCCUUUGAUACUGGCAAUCUAGAGUCCGGAAGAGGUUAGUGGAAUUCCCAGUGUAGAGGUGAAAUUCGUAGAUAUUGGGAAGAACACCAGUGGCGAAGGCGGCUAACUGGUCCGGUACUGACGCUGAGGUGCGAAAGCGUGGGGAGCAAACAGGAUUAGAUACCCCAGUAGUC
rnacentral:rRNA from 2 species